GAUGAACGCUGGCGGCGUGCUUAACACAUGCAAGUCGAGCGAACAGACGUGUAUCUUGCUCCUCUCACGUUAGCGGCGGGUGGGUGAGCACCCCGUGGAUUACCUCCAUAUAAGACUGCGAUAACUUCGGGAAACCGGACCUAAUACCGGAUAAUAUAUUGCACCGCAGGAUUCGAUAGUGUAUGACGGUUUUGCUGUCACUUAUAGAUCGAUCCGCGCCGCAUUAGAUAGUUGGUAAGGUAACGGUUAGCCACGGCAACGAGGCGUAGCCGACCUGAGAGAGGGAUAGCACACACUGGAACAGAGACACGGCCCAGACUCGGACGGGGAGCAGCAGUAGGGACUCUUCCGCGAUGGGCGAGAGGGUGACGGAGCAACGCGGCGUGAGUGAUGAAGGUCUUCGGACGGGAAAACGCUGUUAUUAGGGGAGAAGAAAUGUGUAAGUAGCAGAGCACAUCAUGACGGUACCUGAUCAGAAAGCCACGGCUAACUACGUG
rnacentral:rRNA from 1 species